UUAAAAAUUAAAGAUAUUAUGCAAUUAAAGAAAAAAAUUGUUUAAAACUUACCGUUUAGGUGAUAUGAACGUCACGAGACACAAGAGACUUACUAGAGAAUGAAAUAAGCCGGCCGGUUUGAGUGGAAUCCGUGGUAUAGAACUGCCGCUAUGAAAUAAACUCGUCCGGUAUGACUGAUUUUGAUCGUCACAUUUACAAUUUUUCAUAAAAAAUUCCUUUUUUUAAUAAAAAAUAACAAUUAUUUUGUUACAUAGCAACAUGUACACCCCUAUAAAUUUAUAUAAUAGAAUCGACCAUUUGAAAAAAGUGUAUUCAUUUGCCAUGUGCACAACAUAAAACAACGGUCUGUUACCAUAUAUGGGCAUAAAACGCACACUGAACGCUGAUUGGUGUAUUAGAAGAACACAGCGUGUCUCUGUGUGUAUAGUCCAUGGUCUAACCUCACUUGCAGUAUGCCAUAGUAAACUGACAUUACUCACACAUUAUCAUGGACAGAUAACAAAUAUGAAUAUGAAACAUAUGUACUUAUUUUUGUAUCUUCCGUGUAUACCAAACGAAUCAUUCGUUUUCAGUUCAAUCAUCAGUUUUUUUAAAUAAAUUUCAAUGUUAUUAGUCUCA